GGCUGUGAUUAUGUCAGACUUCAGAUACUAAGUAGAAUUAGGCCUGGUGAGUACUUUGAAUGGGAGCCCUUCAAGGAAAACUCAGGGCAUUGUAGCAA
rnacentral:rRNA from 1 species